rnacentral:rRNA from 1 species
GACGAACGCUGGCGGCGUGCUUAACACAUGCAAGUCGAGCGGUAAGGCCCUUCGGGUACACGAGCGGCGAACGGGUGAGUAACACGUGGGUGACCUGCCUCUAGCUCUGGGAUAAGGCCUGGGAAACUGGGUCUAAUACCGGAUAUGACUCCACGGCGCAUGUUGUGGGGUGGAAAGCCUUGUGUGGCUAGAGAUGGGCCCGCGGCCUAUCAGCUUGUUGGUGGGGUGAUGGCCUACCAA